UUUCCGUAGGUGAACCUGCGGAAGGAUCAUUAUUGUAUAACCGAGGUGCGAGGGCUGUCGCUGACCCGAAAGGUCGUGCACGCCCGAGUGCCCUCACACACAUCCACCUCACCCCUAUGUGCACCACCGCGUGGGUCCCCCUUUGGCUUGUUCGGAGGGGGGCUUACGUUUUCACACAAACUUUGUAUGCAGUGUAGAAUGUAUUUUUUGUUUUUGCGAUCACGCAAUCAAUACAACUUUCAACAACGGAUCUCUUGGCCCUCGCAUCGAUGAAGAACGCAGU
rnacentral:misc_RNA from 1 species